rnacentral:lncRNA from 1 species
CAGGGCCUUGGCGGCCAUAAGUCACAUGCAGCCCCAUCUGCAUGUGUCUACUGUAGCGCCUUGGCCCCGAUAGGUAUAGCGGCUUUGGAGCCUCGAACAAUCCGACUGUUUGCCGAUGAGCUCUUUCUUUGCCUGGCAUGGUCUGGGCUGGCACCUUCCGUUCCUGACUGAUUACUUACAUACAUCUUCUCCACCUGAAUUGCAUCAAAUUGGAUACAAGCCAUCUACAGAACAGCUCGCCCCUCAGCUGGUUGACACUCCCGUGCUUUGUUUCCCCGUGUUCGGGGAUAUCAGGCCGGGCACUGCUUCGCUGACACAACAUUGGAGCUUCGGGG